GAGGCCAUAGCUCAGCUGGGAGAGCACCUGCCUUGCACGCAGGGGGUCAGCGGUUCGAUCCCGCUUGGCUCCACCA
rnacentral:tRNA from 1 species